rnacentral:rRNA from 1 species
CAGUCGCCGCGGUAAAACGUAGGUGGCAAGCGUUGUCCGGAAUUAUUGGGCGUAAAGGGUGCGUAGGCGGCUAUUUAAGUCAGCGGUGAAAGACUCCGGCUCAACCGGAGCAGUGCCAUUGAUACUGGAUAGCUUGAGUGUUGGAGGGGUACAUGGAAUUGAUGGUGUAGCGGUGAAAUGCAUAGAUACCAUCAGGAACACCGAUAGCGAAGGCAUUGUACUGGCCAACGACUGACGCUGAGGCACGAAAGCAUGGGGAGCGAACAGGAUUAGAGACCCCGGUAGUCCCUGUCUCUUAUAC